GACAGAGGGUGCAAACGUUGUUCGGAAUUACUGGGCGUAAAGCGUGCGCAGGCGGUUCGCCAAGUCAGGUGUGAAAUCCCCGGGCUUAACCUGGGAAUUGCGCUUGAAACUAGCGGGCUUGAGUGCGGCAGAGGGGGGUGGAAUUCCACGUGUAGCAGUGAAAUGCGUAGAGAUGUGGAGGAACACCGAUGGCGAAGGCAGCCCCCUGGGUCGACACUGACGCUCAUGCACGAAAGCGUGGGGAGCAAACAGG
rnacentral:rRNA from 1 species